GCCUUCGUGGUGUAGUGGUCAGCACGCUUGGCGCGCAUUCGAGAGGUCCGUGGUUCGAUUCCCGGUGAGGGCA
rfam:Stegodyphus mimosarum contig87533, whole genome shotgun sequence.